rnacentral:rRNA from 1 species
GAUGAACGCUGGCGGCGUGCUUAACACAUGCAAGUCGAACGAUGAAGCCCAGCUUGCUGGGUGGAUUAGUGGCGAACGGGUGAGUAACACGUGAGUAACCUGCCCUUAACUCUGGGAUAAGCCUGGGAAACUGGGUCUAAUACCGGAUAGGAGCGUCCACCGCAUGGUGGGUGUUGGAAAGAUUUAUCGGUUUUGGAUGGACUCGCGGCCUAUCAGCUUGUUGGUGAGGUAAUGGCUCACCAAGGCGACGACGGGUAGCCGGCCUGAGAGGGUGACCGGCCACACUGGGACUGAGACACGGCCCAGACUCCUACGGGAGGCAGCAGUGGGGAAUAUUGCACAAUGGGCGCAAGCCUGAUGCAGCGACGCCGCGUGAGGGAUGACGGCCUUCGGGUUGUAAACAUCUUUCAGUAGGGAAGAAGCGAAAGUGACGGUACCUGCAGAAGAAGCACCGGCUAACUACGUG